AAAAAGUGGGAGCAAAUGAAAAUUCUUAAAUUGAAGACCCUUCUUUUGUGCCACGUCCGUUGGAAAAUUCUUUUGUUCCACCAUGCAGCAAGCAGCACAACUCAAGAAUUGACGAGAGAGAGCGAGAUUAAUGGCUGAGUUUGCUUUAAGAUGUCAAUGGGUGGUGUGGUUGGUAAUACUGGCCCAAGUUCAUGCGUCGAGCUCUUCAUCGGAUUUAAGGGGCACUGAAAUCGGACGCGGAUUCAUGGUCACGAACGAGAGCAAAAUCAUCGAUUUGGAGCAGGGAUGGGAAUUUGUGCAAAAGGGUAUCAUAAAAUUGGAGAACAUUCUGGAGGGACUUUCAGACACGACCUUCUCUUCAGAAGAGUACAUGGCGCUCUAUGAGUAGGGACAUUUUCCCCGUGCUUUGGUUCGGAAUUUGCUCGUCUCAUGCAAGGGAGGAGGCAUUGGUUUCUCUAUAUUGGAAACCUCGUUGAAAUCUUUGCUUGUCUUGUCUGUGGUACAAUCUAUCGUAUGUGAACUCAGGAACCUCCUCACGACUAUUCUCAACAGCUUUAUGACAGAUAUAAGGAAGUUUAUGAAGAGUACAUUACCUCAAAGGUGAUACCAUCUCUGAAAGAGAAGCAUGGUGAGUUGAUGCUGACGGAGCUUGUAAAAAGGUGGUCAAAUCACAAGCUCAUGGUCUAUUGGCUUUCUCGAUUAUUUCAUUAUCUUGAUCGCUACUUCAUUCCUAGAAGAUCACUUCCACCACUCAAUAAAGUUGGCCUCACAAGCUUCCAUGAUCUGAUAGAAAAAGAGCCUGAAGGAGACCAGAUUGACAGGGUUUUGUUAAAAAAAUUUGUGAAUAUUUUUGAGGAACUUGGGAUGGGCAGUGAUUCAUAUAUGGCCGGCUUUGAAGAUGCAGUGAUUAGCAAGGCUGUUGCUUACUGUUCCAGGAAGGCUUCCAAUUGGACCUUGGAGUAUUCUCAUUCAGAUUACAUUAUGAAAGUUACAUUCUUGAAGUUUCACCCAGUGAUUGCAUGUCCCCAUAUGCAUAUUGUUAGUUUAAGAAGCAGCUGUCAAUUAUGUUUGCAGGCUGAAGACUGCUUGAAACAGGAAACGAGAGCCAAAUAUGAUCUUUGAGGAAGCAGUGUCCAGAAGCUACUGGAUUGGAACUUCCGCCACUCUCUUUCUGCAAGUUAGAUUCCUUAGAAGGAAAAUUCUGGAUGCCAUGCUUUACCUGGAGACGGCAAGGUGAUGCUGAAGCAUGUUAUAUAAUGAAGCACCUUUUCUAGCGAGGCAUGUAUAAAACCUGCUUAUUCUAAAGGAGGGAAAAUCUCCUAAAGAUGUUUCAACUUUCAACAUAUCCUUCCUAGUUGAGUGUAUAUUAAUAAUUUUCAAUAGUUCAGUAUUUUAAAUAAUUCAGCAUCUUAUGGCUGAUUGAUUUUGCUGGAAAAGCAGGAAGCUAAUUCUGCAGUCAAUGAUAAUGUAUUGAACCAUGAUUGGUAAUUUUUUC